GGCCCGGUGGUGUAAUGGUUGCACGUCCUUUGUUGUUAGCCGCAUAUCUUUACCAUUAAGAGGAAGAUCCCGGUUCGAAUCCGGGCUGGGCCC